UACGUAGGGUGCAAGCGUUGUCCGGAAUUAUUGGGCGUAAAGAGCUCGUAGGCGGUCUGUCGCGUCUGCUGUGAAAAUCCGGGGCUCAACCCCGGACUUGCAGUGGGUACGGGCAGACUAGAGUGCGGUAGGGGAGACUGGAAUUCCUGGUGUAGCGGUGAAAUGCGCAGAUGUCAGGAGGAACACCGGUGGCGAAGGCGGGUCUCUGGGCCGUAACUGACGCUGAGGAGCGAAAGCAUGGGGAGCGAACAGG
rnacentral:rRNA from 1 species